UACGUAGGGGGCUAGCGUUGUCCGGAAUCAUUGGGCGUAAAGCGCGUGUAGGCGGCUCGAUAAGUCCGCCUCUGAAAGCCCGGGGCUCAACCCCGGGAGGCGGGUGGAUACUGUCGAGCUCGAGUCCGGAAGAGGCAAGUGGAAUUCCCGGUGUAGCGGUGAAAUGCGCAGAUAUCGGGAGGAACACCAAUGGCGAAGGCAGCUUGCUGGGACGGUACUGACGCUGAGACGCGAAAGCGUGGGGAGCAAACGGGG
rnacentral:rRNA from 1 species